AGGGAAUCCAAAGUGCACCCACACCAGACCUGUUGGUUAUUUUAGGAUCUUAUAUUUCUGGUCUGUUAAAUGCAUUAGACAUUUUGCAACGAGCCUUCAGCGCAUGCUGAGUGAGCGAGCGCCUUAGGGGCCGUUCACAUAUCGCUCCUAAAAGCGCGUGGAAAACGCUAAGCACGUCUUUCUCCUCCUUUCCAAAGCGCUCGGGCAGAAGCGCUCAUGAGGCGUCUGUCUUUGCUAAGCAACAAUGACGUGCUCUCUCCAUGAGACGCGGAAAUUUCAGCGAAUGAUAAAUGGAUUUGCAAGCUCUAAAAAUCGCUUGCAGUAGCUCUGCUACUAAAUUUAUUUCAAAAUUGCAAUCCAUAUACAACUGUGAACAGCUGUUUCUUCAUCUUGGCUGAGUUUUCAACGUUGUUACGGGAAAGGAUGAAGCUGAUUGGUUAGUUCUUGUCACAUGACCCGCGGUGCGCUUGCAGCAUUCUGAAAAGUUGAGAUGUUUUUACAUUUUGCUGUAUCUAAAACGUACCGAACCGAACCGAACCGUGACAUCAGUGUAUCGUAUCGAACCGAACCGUGAAUUUUGUGAACCGUUACACCCCUAAUAUAUAUAUAUAUAACAAGAAAAACAGAUUCGUAACUGACCUUGUUUAUAUUCUUUCUUCAGUUGACUACUCUCCAGCUCCAGUUUCUUCUGACUCAAAGAGAUCUCUCUCUGCUGUGAUGGUGGUCUGCUGCAGUAUGAUGAAGACCAGCAGAAGAACACAAAUGAGCGCCAGACUCACUGUGAUCAACACCAAACAUCUACUUCCUCCUGACCAAAACACACAAAUAUUAAUGAAUACCCAUCAUAUUACUAGACAUUAAUAAUCAGUCUUUAUCUUUAAAUAAUGUUGUAGAGUUUUUAUUAUCUUUUAUAAGACAAACAUUGCUAUACAGCAGGGCUUGGCAACCUAAAGCAAUCGUGGAAAUGAGUUAACUUCUCAUAGUCACACAGCCUGUUAGGAGCUAUAAAUACUAUUAAAGUGUGAGAAUUAACUUGCUAUGGGCUAUGGGCGUUGGCACAGUGGUUAACCAGAAAAAAAAAAAAAAUGUCACAUCAUGCCGAAAUGGUUGUCGAUCCCUGAUAUAUACAGUAACAAUGUUGAUUCAAGGUAAAAGAUCCAAAUAAGAACAUUAUUAGACAAAUUAGCAAGAAAAUAAUUAUAUUUUAAUAUAUUUAAAAUAAAUGCGGGAACGUUGACCACAAAUCCAGUCUUAAGUUUCAAUUUUAAUUUUACAAUAUUUGUCUGAGAUACAACUAUUUGAAAAUCUGGAAUCUGAGGGAGCCAAAAAAUCGAUAUACUGAGAAAAUCACCUAUAAAGUUGUCCAAAUGAAGUUCUUAGCAAUGCAUAUUACUAAUCAAAAACGUUUUUAUAUAUUUACAGUAGGAAAUUUUUACAAAAUAUCUUCAUGGAACAUGAUGUUUACCUAAUAUCCUAAAGAUUUUUUGGCAUACAUUUUUUUUUUUUUUUUGACCAAAACAAUGUUGUUGUUUUUUUGGCUAUUGCUAAAAAUAUACCCCAGAGACUUAAGACUGGUUUUGUGGUCCAGGGUCACAUGUUUUUCAUAGAAUAAAUACUUAAAGUUGUAUUUGUUGUAGUUGUACUGCCUUUAACUGUCAUUUUGCAUUAUUGACACACUGUUUUCCAAAAGAAUGUUGUUCAGUUGCUUUGACACAAUGUAUUUUGUUUAAAAUGCUAUAUAAAUAAAGGUGACUUGACUUGACUAUUUAACCAUUAACUUCCACAUCAUCGACACUAUUAAUAACACCAUUUGUGCUUUAAAGUAAUUUAUUUUCUUACUGUGUUUUAGAUCCUUUCCUUCAUCCUGGCUGUGACUCUGAGGUUUAGUUGUUUUCUGAACAUCUCUGUGUUUAACAUUUUCAUAAAUUCCCUCUGAUUCCAUUAUUCACUGAUGAUAGUUCUUCUUUAUAGAUAAGCUGUUCUUAAGAACAAUGACUAGUUCUA
rnacentral:lncRNA from 1 species